GGGGGCUUGGUUAAGUGGUAUAACAGUGCUCUCCAAAAGCACGGUCAGGGGUUCGAUUCCCUUAGCCCCCG
rnacentral:tRNA from 1 species